rnacentral:lncRNA from 1 species
AUACUCAUUCAUUGUCAUCUAAGGUUGUUGCGUGAUAUGCUAUCUAUGAUUUUCUAAGUCAAAACCUGAAUACGUGGGAUUUUUUUUCUGCAGUUAGUGUUAAUGAAGUGAAGUUUAAACAUUAGCAAUUCUGUAACUGACGAUGGGUUAAUAAAUAAGGUAAUUUGCUUUCAACAUUUAUGAAAUCAUCCUUUGUACUUUAAAUAUAUCGUGAUUACACACAUCCUCUGGUUUUUUCACCUUGUUUCGUAUUUGACUCUUUAUCAUUAUGGAGUUUGAGUAAUCAUUUUAUUUUAUUUAGUAAAAAUAAUUGACAACAACUUUGCAAAGUGUAAAGACAAGGAUGAUCGAAAUCUGUUUUAUAAAUAACAUCAUCAUAUUCAAUAUUUUUAGUAUAGAACUUUCUUCCACUCUGAAAAUCAUAACAGCUAUGCAUUGUUUGUGGUUAAAACUCAUAACUUUUUGUAAUUUCCAAGUCUUCUUAAUUAUAAUUUCCAAGUCUUCUGGUUGCAUUGAUUUUUGUUGAUUAUCUGAUGCCAAAACUAGAUUUCCCGACAGUUCAUCUAUCGAUAGUUGUUGCUCAACUGUCGUUCCCGACAGUUAGCCUCAGUAAUUCUCGACAGAUAAAAAUGUCGGGAUCGACAGUUCAGUUCCUGCUUGCCUAGCCCUGCCUACCAGUAGAAAAUGAUAUUUCUAUGUAAUAUGCGUUCAGAUAUGAGUAUUCAUUUUAUUUUUUGCAUGCAACAAUUUCUGAAGUUCAGUGGACUGAAUUAGGGCUAUUUUAUUGAAGUAAUAUGGUUGGCACUCAUAUGCAUUUGGUGGAAAUCAUGUUUGAUGUGGGCAUAUCUUCCGUUUCAAUAUUUCUGUUACUUGUGUCAUAACCUUGCUUUCACUUGCACACAUUGAGCUUGUGGGCGGCACUCGUUGCAUUUGGGAGGAACUGUUGAAAGACACUUCACAACAUACUUGUGAUUUUUGGUCCUAUGCUGGUAGGAAGUUUAUAUUGUAGUGUGACGCAUUUAUUUCCUAUUUUGUUUCUGUAGACAUGGAUUUGAGCCUCUUGUUCCAGAGAAUGCACGCUUGCGGGGCCACGUAUCGCAGAGAAGCAAUCUGCGAUAUAUAAAAACAGUUGUCGAAUAUUUUGACGAGCGACAGCGGGCAGACUUUCGCAACUCAUGCCUUGGGUUCUUGUCCGAGGUUCCGGAUCUCCAAUUCUCUGCCCAAUUAAUCCAACAACUCGUAUUCUGCUGCAUACAAACAAAUAAGCGGCACGAACUGUGGUUUAAUUUGCAAGGCCACCUCGUCAGGUUCGGAAUUCAAGAAUAUGCCCUGGUCACAGGAUUAAGGUAUGGUCUUCUCCCGGAUGACAAUGUCGUGGACCGAGUUCUUGACAAGAGGAGACUAAAGGACAAAUACUUUAAACAUGUUGACAAGAUUUUAUGGUAUGGAUGAAUUUGGUCACGUUCUCUGGAUACGUGCAGAAACUGCAUCUCCAUAAUAGGCAAUCGCAGUAGUGUAGGUUUUCAAGCCGCUGUUGUUACCAACUGCCGAGAAUUACAGAGACUAUCUGUCGGAAACGACAUAUGAACUGUCGAGACGUAAUGUUGGUGUUUUGUUUGUUCACUAUGGUCUCAUGAAAAUCAAUUUUUCAUUUCGACAAACUGUCAGUCGAAGCUAAUGAAACUUCUAUGAUCGGCUAAGUUUAUAUUAAGAAAAAGGUAUUCAUCUCGUUUGUGAUAAUGGAACUGUAAUGAUCGGUACUUUGCUUGUGGAACAUAACGACCAAAUUUGAUUUGACGUACGAUAAUAAUAACAGAUUCAUAAAAUAAGUUGGGAAUGUACAAUGCUUAUUUAAAUUAAGUUUUUCG